CACGUAGGGCGCAAGCGUUGUCCGGAAUUAUUGGGCGUAAAGAGCUCGUAGGCGGUCUGUUACGUCUGCUGUGAAAACCCGGGGCUUAACCCCGGGCUUGCAGUGGAUACGGGCAGACUAGAGGCAGGUAGGGGAGAAUGGAAUUCCCGGUGUAGCGGUGAAAUGCGUAGAUAUCGAGAGGAACACCUGCGGCGAAGGCGGGUUGCUGGGCUGACACUGACGCUGAUGCGCGAAAGCUAGGGGAGCGAACGGG
rnacentral:rRNA from 1 species